CCUACGGGUGGCAGCAGUGAGGAAUAUUGGUCAAUGGACGCAAGCCUGAACCAGCCAUGCCGCGUGCAGGAAGACGGCUCUAUGAGUUGUAAACUGCUUUUGUACGAGGGUAAACGCAGAUACGCGUAUCUGUCUGAAAGUAUCGUACGAAUAAGGAUCGGCUAACUCCGUGCCAGCAGCCGCGGUAAUACGGAGGAUUCAAGCGUUAUCCGGAUUUAUUGGGUUUAAAGGGUGCGUAGGCGGUCGGGUAAGUUAGAGGUGAAAGCCCGAGGCUCAACUUCGGAAUUGCAUCUGAUACUGUACGGCUAGAGUGUAGUUGCGGUAGGCGGAAUGUAUGGUGUAGCGGUGAAAUGCUUAGAGAUCACGCAGAACACCGAUUGCGAAGGCAGCUUACCAAGCUACUUCUGACGUUGAGGCACGAAAGCGUGGGGAGCAAACAGGAUUAGAUACCCGUGUAGUC
rnacentral:rRNA from 1 species